rnacentral:rRNA from 1 species
UGCAAGUCGAACGAACUCUGGUAUUGAUUGGUGCUUGCAUCAUGAUUUACAUUUGAGUGAGUGGCGAACUGGUGAGUAACACGUGGGAAACCUGCCCAGAAGCGGGGGAUAACACCUGGAAACAGAUGCUAAUACCGCAUAACAACUUGGACCGCAUGGUCCGAGCUUGAAAGAUGGCUUCGGCUAUCACUUUUGGAUGGUCCCGCGGCGUAUUAGCUAGAUGGUGGGGUAACGGCUCACCAUGGCAAUGAUACGUAGCCGACCUGAGAGGGUAAUCGGCCACAUUGGGACUGAGACACGGCCCAAACUCCUACGGGAGGCAGCAGUAGGGAAUCUUCCACAAUGGACGAAAGUCUGAUGGAGCAACGCCGCGUGAGUGAAGAAGGGUUUCGGCUCGUAAAACUCUGUUGUUAAAGAAGAACAUAUCUGAGAGUAACUGUUCAGGUAUUGACGGUAUUUAACCAGAAAGCCACGGCUAACUACGUGCCAGCAGCCGCGGUAAUACGUAGGUGGCAAGCGUUGUCCGGAUUUAUUGGGCGUAAAGCGAGCGCAGGCGGUUUUUUAAGUCUGAUGUGAAAGCCUUCGGCUCAACCGAAGAAGUGCAUCGGAAACUGGGAAACUUGAGUGCAGAAGAGGACAGUGGAACUCCAUGUGUAGCGGUGAAAUGCGUAGAUAUAUGGAAGAACACCAGUGGCGAAGGCGGCUGUCUGGUCUGUAACUGACGCUGAGGCUCGAAAGUAUGGGUAGCAAACAGGAUUAGAUACCCUGGUAGUCCAUACCGUAAACGAUGAAUGCUAAGUGUUGGAGGGUUUCCGCCCUUCAGUGCUGCAGCUAACGCAUUAAGCAUUCCGCCUGGGGAGUACGGCCGCAAGGCUGAAACUCAAAGGAAUUGACGGGGGCCCGCACAAGCGGUGGAGCAUGUGGUUUAAUUCGAAGCUACGCGAAGAACCUUACCAGGUCUUGACAUACUAUGCAAAUCUAAGAGAUUAGACGUUCCCUUCGGGGACAUGGAUACAGGUGGUGCAUGGUUGUCGUCAGCUCGUGUCGUGAGAUGUUGGGUUAAGUCCCGCAACGAGCGCAACCCUUAUUAUCAGUUGCCAGCAUUAAGUUGGGCACUCUGGUGAGACUGCCGGUGACAAACCGGAGGAAGGUGGGGAUGACGUCAAAUCAUCAUGCCCCUUAUGACCUGGGCUACACACGUGCUACAAUGGAUGGUACAACGAGUUGCGAACUCGCGAGAGUAAGCUAAUCUCUUAAAGCCAUUCUCAGUUCGGAUUGUAGGCUGCAACUCGCCUACAUGAAGUCGGAAUCGCUAGUAAUCGCGGAUCAGCAUGCCGCGGUGAAUACGUUCCCGGGCCUUGUACACACCGCCCGUCACACCAUGAGAGUUUGUAACACCCAAAGUCGGUGGGGUAACCU